CAGCAACAACAAAGACCACUAAAGUCAGAACUCAUCUCCAUCCCUCCCACUGUCUCAGUGUAAGGGGCUCCCCACCACUGGCCACCUUCUGUGGACUGAAAACACUUAGCAUUCAACAUUUCUGGGAUUUUAGGAGUGAAUAUCUGGAGCAUUUGGGACGGUUCAGGAAUUUCCCAGGCCAAAUGGAUGAUGUAGUAUUCUGUCCCAUAACAUCCAGGCCCAUUCUCCAUAUGAGAGGACUGACUGUCUUCACAAGAGGUUCCAGAGACCGGUACACCAAGUGGACCAGAGACUUCUAUGACCACACUGAUCUUGAAAAGCUGGGAUCCACACUGCAUCAAGGUCACAGAAAGUGGGCCCUAACUGAUGAGCCAUCUUAGCCAUGACCAAGAAGGGAAGACUGAUUGUUCCCUGGAUUUACUAGUGUGCUUUCUAAUAGGAAGAAACUUCAGCUUGCUUUGAACUUAGCUUUUCCAGGGCUAAAUGUUUUGGGGAAACUGAGUUGAAUCCUCCCUCACCCCUGAUGGUGAGUGAACUAAAAACAUCUUCCCCACUUUGUAAACUAAGCAUCCUACACCCCCAUUCCCUCUCCCACCUGUGGUGCUGAACAGGAGCCGCCCAUGACUCCCUGGACCAAGAGCCCGAGGAUGCCUCCCGGCCAAGACUUCAUCUAUCUCAUCCCCAGAAGACCUUAUUUCCAUUUCCAUUUCCAUCGGAGGGUUAUCUCAGAAAACAUUAACUGAAUCCUACUUGCCAUCACAAGCACCUCUUCGGCAAAGCCCACCUCCCUCUCUCGCUUGAUUCCCCGGCCAUCCUUAUCAAAGACCUUCCAGGUGAACAGGCAGCCAUCCUCAGCAGCAGUCAGCAGGAACUGAUCAUCAAAGAAACUUGCAAAAAUAGCACAGAGAGAGUGGACUUCUGGAAUGGCACGGCAACAAAAUUCCCUACGGCAGCACCCAAAGGCUUGAAAUUAGCCAUUCCAAGUGUGUCCAAAAAACUAAAGGAAACCAUGAUUAAACAAGUAAAGGUAGAAAUGAUAUGCAUCAAAUAGAGAAGAAUAAAAGGAUCCCAUCAAUAUAGGGAUAGAACUGUAAGAAAAUAGAAAUUCUAGAGUUAAAAACUACAAUAACUGAAAUGAAAAAUCCACUAGAGGUGCUCAAGAAUAGAUCUGAACUGGCAGAA
rnacentral:lncRNA from 1 species